rnacentral:tRNA from 1 species
CAGGGAGACAACAAAAUGUUUAAUAUUAUUAUUUUGUCACCUUAGGUCGAUCGGUAUCUCACGUUCUUAAUUUAUUAAGGAUUUCAUUUCCUAAGUUUUUCUAGGUCACACCCAUUAUUUUUCCUGGGCCAUUAGCUCAGGUGGUUAGAGCGCACCCCUGAUAAGGGUGAGGUCCCUGGUUCAAGUCCAGGAUGGCCCAUAUCUCUAUGUUGGGGGUAUAGCUCAGUUGGUAGAGCGCCUGCUUUGCAAGCAGGAUGUCAGCGGUUCGAGUCCGCUUACCUCCACUGAUUACCACCUCUUCCAUAAUUUGUAGAAAGGGAAUUUUUUGAGUCGUGACCAAAUUCUGAAAGAAUCUAGCUUCCUAAUGAAAUCAUUAAGAUGCUGGACUCAUUGAUUAAUUUCAUUGUUUUCAGAGAACCUUGACAACUGCAUAGAUUAUUUUUUUAAAGACAAUAAGCAUCUUUAAUGAUGCAGAUUUAUUAUUUGUGCGAAUGCAUUAAUAACAAUUCUAUUAAGCUGAUGCUUCAAUUUUUGAAGUUAUU